UGUCCCUCUAGAAAAGAGAAUCAAGCAGACCAUUGUAAGGAUGUCUCUGAAAUCUAAUACAGGAGCUGACCUCAAUGACCCAGUGGUAAAGGAACAGAUGUUGGAGCAGAUCAGAAAGGAGUUUGCUAAGGACGGGAACUUCAUCCUAGGCCCACACUGGAGAGAACUGCUGAAUGGAGACGUUUUUCUCAAAACAGUUAAACUUGGAAGCCCUGAAGAAGGUCAGUGUGGGUCAGGAUGAAGAGGACCAGCCAUGAUGAUGCAACAGGAGAGGGAUGGAAGUCCCAAGAAAACUAAAAUAGUCAAGCUUACUGUAAAUAACCCUAGUACUUUUUAAUAUAUGACCGUAUAUCAAUAACAUUAUCUUAGAUCAUGGGCCAUGUUUUUCUUGAAUGAUAGAUAGCUUUAUGCUUAUGAAUGAAAAAUAUGAUGUCAAGUUAUAUUAGGCUAGAUUUAAACUCUACAAUGUUUUACUAUUGUAAUGUAAAAUUAUAAUGUAAGAUUUUUGUUGGUGCAUAAAUGUAAUGUAAUAAUAUUUGUUGUACAUCAGGGCAAUUUGAUUAGUGAAGAGAAGAGGAAUAAAAAGGACAUUUGUGGUUUUUCAAGUCUGUUGUUAAAACAUGUAUGGUGAAGUUUCAGUGAGGUUUCAGUGAGGGAUCUUUUCAGUGAGGGAGUUUCAGUGAGGGAUUUUCAGAGUGUAAAAUUCUUGAUAAGGAUGUUACUCACUUAUGGAUGUAGCUGUUGACGUUCUUAAAUAAAAUGUGUUUGAUUAGUGACAACAAUAUUACCAUUAUUUUCACCCUCCAGCAAGAAUGGUGAGAUGAAGGCAGUAAUCACAUCAAUGUAGAAUGAUGUGCCCACUUCCAGGUGGCAUCGUUCAGAGAACUGUAAAGAUGGAGACAGACAGACUGUUGUGGGUGUGA